rnacentral:rRNA from 1 species
GACGAACGCUGGCGGCGUGCUUAACACAUGCAAGUCGAGCGGUAAGGCCCUUUCGGGGUACACGAGCGGCGAACGGGUGAGUAACACGUGAGUAAUCUGCCUUUGGCUUGGGAAGUAACUUCGGGAAAUCGGGGCGUAAUGCCUGAUGUUUACUGUCUGCUGCAUGGUGGGUGGUGGAAAGAUUUUUUGGCCAGGGAUGAGCUCGCGGUCUAUCAGCUUGUUGGUGGGG